rnacentral:lncRNA from 1 species
UUGAAUGGCGUCAUACAGUGACUCCACUUAAAAGAACUAGGGUUUCGACCCAGCUCUUGAUACCAUGUAAAUAAUAGAGCAAAAAUAUGAUUUGCGGAAGUGUUUUCUUCUAUUGAAACAAGGAGAUUUAUACAAAGAAGAAUACUUGACUUAGAAGUAAAUUACCCUACUUUCUAGGUAUACAACAGGAAACUAAACUUUAUACAAAUCAAUUACAAAAUUGUUUCCUAAACUAAGCCAAGAUAUCAGGAAUGAUAUCAUUGACUUCUCUACACAGACCGAAUAAUGAAGAGCUAAUUACGUCUUUCUGGUGAAUACGAGCGUGUCAACUUGAGACUGAGUUCGGUCGAGUGAGUAGACUAGAUGUGGUGGUGGUGUCAAAUGCGUUGCUGACUUCUGUACUCAAGCUAUCAUGGGCAAGGAAAGAACAUGUCCUGGCCUUGGGUUUUAGAACCUGAAGACAAAGUUGCUAGUCAUUGUGAAGUUCAAAUAAGGUUCAAAUUUCAAUGUGCCGAACACUGAAAAACCUAGUAACACCUCAUCACCAAGAAGGUAAUGAGAUGAUCUCUUUCACUAAGAAAACCAAAGGCUCCUCGAUGGCAGAGACUUGGAUAGGUAACUAGCCAAACUCAAAGUAGUACUAUUAAUCUAAACAGAAGGUACUUCUCGGUCGCCUGAUUUUACGACCCCAGUGUUGUUAAUCCAAACUGACAUGUCAACAUAGUGCUAUUACUCCAACCUGAAAGUGUGUUGACGAAGGAGUUAAGUGAGUUAGUGACUUCUCAAAGUAUGAGAAUGAUUAGCAUAGAGCGAGGUUUUGCGUAGGGCGUUUGUGUGUUGAGUUGAAGAACCACUUCUAUUUAUAAGGUAGGAUUUCGUGGUGACCAAGCUAGCUGAAGUAGAAUCCUAAUAGAAUUAUAUUUCUUUGAAGCUUUUCUGGAUAUCUAUGAUAUUAUCCUUUCACUAAACAAAACCAAUCCGCACAUGGUCUCGGCCACUUCGACUUGAACUAGGAUUCUGAACCUUAGCCGUCUUAUGUGUUAAAUUCACUUGUUAUCUGAUUAGUCACAAGUCUUGAUUCUUGGAAUAAUUCAAAUCUUAUCAAUACCUACCCUGAUCCUUAGCAAUUUCAAUUUAAUUAGAACUCGGUCAAAUCAUUACUUAAUCCGAUCUUUUAAGAAUCCUAUUUCUAUUAGGACUCGGCCAAGUUCUUCCAUGGCUGAACAUCAUCUGGCCUGAGAAAUCAAUAUUGGGUCGAGAACUACAACCUUUUAACCCAAGUCAUCUCUCUUUUGCCAAACCUAAUAUAUCAAGCCCAAACAUGUAUGCACUGAGAAAUAUGAGUAAUCAAUGAUCCAAUCAUAUUCAUAUUAGAUAACAAUAGCCUCAUUUUACUCUUCUAUUGCAUGAUUGUGCACCAGCCUGGUGGUUGUAAAAUAACCAUCUUCAGGUGUGAAGGUGAGAGGAGAGACAUAAAAAAAAAAAAGAUAGAUUGAAAAUAUGGCUGCAUCACAAUUUUUUUUUUAACAAACAAUAGUAUCUAUACUAAAGGAAUAGAGGAGUGGGCUAAGCCUUACAUUGGGGCUAUCCAUAAUAAUGUGGUUCUAAUUUGCCUUUGUCAAUAAUCAAACCUAAAACCUCUCACUUACAAGUGAAGAGGAAUAUUAUUAGACCAUAGUACUAACUAGCAAUGGCUGCAUCACAUUUGAGUGUUUAUGAAAACUUUGUACUACCAAGGGCCUAACUUAAUUUUUGCCCUAGGAUGCUUAAUUAGCCACAGCCAGCCUAAGAUGGGAUGGCAGACACUAACUACGUUUUUCUUAUGAUCAAUGCCCCCAUUAAUUGCACAUUUAGAAUUUGAAAUUUGGGCUUUUGUGUGAAUGGGUAGACCGAUACCAUGAUGUUAUGAACUAAUCAUACAAUGUCACAUAGCUCGUGCGGGAUGUCACGAUAACAAUGCACUUGUUUCAAGCAAGUCAUUCUGUAAAUUCAAGUAUGCAAUUGGAAACGAAACAAAUUUUGUUUUCAAUUCACAAAUACAAAAUAUGGGGAAAAAAAGAAAGAAAAUGAUACGGGUAAUGCAGGUAAAGAAUCUUACAUUUCUCAACUCUUGGGAAGAGACACAGGAAUUAAUGUGCCGUGAAUUCCUUUUUACAUAUACCAAACCCAACCUUAUAGCGAGGCACGAAACCUUAACAAAAACUUCAUUUUCUCUCCCUGUGAGAGGUUUUCUCUCAUUUUCUGUGAGAGUUCCUUCUCGCAUAUGUGCGCAGUAGUUUCCUAGUCCUUCAUCCCCCUCAGCUGCUGGCCCUGGCUAAGGCUAGGGUUGGUGGCUCUCUUCUUCCCUUGUUUCCUCUUCUUUUUCUAGUUGUUAGCACUUAUUUCCCUAUGUUUUUCCGUUGGGCAUCUCCCCUGUGCUUUGAAUUACAAAACCUUAGCCAUCAAAUUUGUUCCCCUUCCCCGUUCUUUGUUUUCCUUUCCCAUCAAUCCACUCUAUCAUCAAUUUCAAAACCUAAAACAUCAAUUUCGAUUCCCCUUUCCCAUCCUCUAUCUCCAUAAUUUUAUUCUUUCCCCUUCCUAUCCCUCCCAUCUGGCUCCGGCUUUGUUCCACCCCACAAAUGUACAGAUCUGCAGUCACUCUCCUUCAACGCGUUUUGAUGCGAUUCUCUAGGGAAGUGCGUAAAGCUCUUGCGCAGGUGUUCACACCACCCCCUCUCAUUGAUUUGUCCUCAGUGGCUUUUUUUGCCGUCAGUGACCUUGUUGCUGGUGGUUUAUAUCUCACUAGCUUUCUUUGGUUUGUGAUUGUUGUCCUGUUCUAUUGGUGUUUUCUGAAAGUUGUUGGAGUCAUCGAUUCCAUCAUAUAUGCGGAUUUGGCUGAAUCUCUAUUUCUCGACGAUGGGAACGGCAACUCAAGUAGGAUUGAUGGUAGGAUUUUUCUGUUUCUAGGCUCGAAACUUUGUUUUGUGCUUUGUUUUGGGCGUCCAUUUCUUCUUGUGUACCUUUCAUGCAAUUGGG